GAUGAACGCUGGCGGCGUGCCUAAUACAUGCAAGUCGAGCGAACAGACGAGAAGCUUGCUUCUCUGAUGUUAGCGGCGGACGGGUGAGUAACACGUGGAUAACCUACCUAUAAGACUGGGAUAACUUCGGGAAACCGGAGCUAAUACCGGAUAAUAUUUUGAACCGCAUGGUUCAAAAGUGAAAGACGGUCUUGCUGUCACUUAUAGAUGGAUCCGCGCUGCAUUAGCUAGUUGGUAAGGUAACGGCUUACCAAGGCAACGAUGCAUAGCCGACCUGAGAGGGUGAUCGGCCACACUGGAACUGAGACACGGUCCAGACUCCUACGGGAGGCAGCAGUAGGGAAUCUUCCGCAAUGGGCGAAAGCCUGACGGAGCAACGCCGCGUGAGUGAUGAAGGUCUUCGGUUCGUAAAACUCUGUUAUUAGGGAAGAACAUAUGUGUAAGUAACUGUGCACAUCUUGACGGUACCUAAUCAGAAAGCCACGGCUAACUACGUG
rnacentral:rRNA from 1 species